UAGGGAAUCUUCCGCAAUGGGCGAAAGCCUGACGGAGCAACGCCGCGUGAGUGAUGAAGGUCUUCGGAUCGUAAAACUCUGUUAUUAGGGAAGAACAAAUGUGUAAGUAACUAUGCACGUCUUGACGGUACCUAAUCAGAAAGCCACGGCUAACUACGUGCCAGCAGCCGCGGUAAUACGUAGGUGGCAAGCGUUAUCCGGAAUUAUUGGGCGUAAAGCGCGCGUAGGCGGUUUUUUAAGUCUGAUGUGAAAGCCCACGGCUCAACCGUGGAGGGUCAUUGGAAACUGGAAAACUUGAGUGCAGAAGAGGAAAGUGGAAUUCCAUGUGUAGCGGUGAAAUGCGCAGGGAUAUGGAGGAACACCAGGGGAGAAGGCGACUUUCUGGUCUGUAACUGACGCUGAUGUGCGAAAGCGUGGGAAUCAAACAGG
rnacentral:rRNA from 1 species